rnacentral:lncRNA from 13 species
AUGUACACACAAUUUUAGAAUACAUUGAUUGGGAAAGUGAGACAGAGAUUGUUGUAGGACGAUUCAUUUAGCGAUUGUGGAGGAAUAUUUUUUGAACGGGAGAGGACAUCGUUUUGGACUGUGACACUGACUCCGAAUGGCAGCCCCCAGGGCCAAGGUUUCCAUCCCCCACUGAAGCUGGUUCCUUCCAGCUCUUGCCACAAGUGGUGUUCAUCUGA